GCUGUAGCCAUGCCUACUUAGGGGCUGGCUACAGGUGUGCCUGACCACGCUUGUGAGGGUGUGGUCAGAGUGACGUAGUGUGACUUCGUUUGCUCUUUCGCUUUCACUUUGCUUCUUGCUGUACAGACUGCUGCCACGCCGGCUGGCUAGGUUACUCUGCUUGGAUCCUGGAAACAGAAGAGAUGAACACUUGGAUGGGAAGUUACGAGUGUCAUACAACAAGAUGAAAGCCCAGCCUGAUUUUCCUCAGCAAGACCUGAACAUUAAGGAAUCUCCUAAGACAGGGAAAGCUGGCUCUCUUCAAUUCACUUUAUAUACCACCAAACCUCCACUGGUGUUCUUGGCCAACAGAGCAAUAUGACAGCAAAACUGUUAGUAUCAUAGAAGAAAACUGAUUUAAAGAAACUUUUUUUUUUAAAGAAAACUGAUUUAAAGACUCUUGUAGAAUUAAUUUUCAAUGGUGACUAACAGUCAGAAAGGUAAUAUAUACAUCUUCAUUUUCUUUCAGACAACCAAUAUUCCACAUGGUAGACAAUUGUUUUAGAGUUCUAUAGCUGUGAUAAAUAAAACACAUGACCAGAAGCAAUUUGGGGUGGGGGGUGGGGCUUUUCA
rnacentral:lncRNA from 1 species